GAUGAACGCUGGCGGCGUGCCUAAUACAUGCAAGUCGAGCGAACGGACGAGAAGCUUGCUUCUCUGAUGUUAGCGGCGGACGGGUGAGUAACACGUGGAUAACCUACCUAUAAGACUGGGAUAACUUCGGGAAACCGGAGCUAAUACCGGAUAAUAUUUUGAACCGCAUGGUUCAAAAGUGAAAGACGGUCUUGCUGUCACUUAUAGAUGGAUCCGCGCUGCUUUAGCUAGUUGGUAAGGUAACGGCUUACCAAGGCAACGAUGCAUAGCCGACCUGAGAGGGUGAUCGGCCACACUGGAACUGAGACACGGUCCAGACUCCUACGGGAGGCAGCAGUAGGGAAUCGUCCGCAAUGGGCGAAAGCCUGACGGAGCAACGCCGCGUGAGUGAUGAAGGUCUUCGGAUCGUAAAACUCUGUUAUUAGGGAAGAACAUAUGUGUAAGUAACUGUGCACAUCUUGACGGUACCUAAUCAGAAAGCCACGGCUAACUACGUG
rnacentral:rRNA from 1 species